GUUGCCCGGACGCGGAGCGAGAGGCUGAGAGAGUCGGGGACGCUAUCCGCUUCCAUCCGUCGCGCAGACCCUGCCGGAGCCGCUGCCGCUAUGGAUGAUCGAGAGGAUCUGGUGUACCAGGCGAAGCUGGCCGAGCAGGCUGAGCGAUACGACGAAAUGGUGGAGUCAAUGAAGAAAGUAGCAGGGAUGGAUGUGGAGCUGACAGUUGAAGAAAGAAACCUUCUAUCUGUUGCAUAUAAGAAUGUGAUUGGAGCUAGAAGAGCCUCCUGGAGAAUAAUCAGCAGCAUUGAACAGAAAGAAGAAAACAAGGGAGGAGAAGACAAGCUAAAAAUGAUUCGGGAAUAUCGGCAAAUGGUGAGAUUGUUGUGCCGUCAUCCCCCCUUAUCCACAGUUUGAGUUACCUGUAGGACGGUACACUAAGAUUUUGAGAGAAAAGGAGACGACAUUCAUAUAAGUUGUAUUAC
rnacentral:sRNA from 1 species